CACGAAGCCUAGAAUUGCAGAUUUUGGUUGAGGAUUUUGGACCUGAGAUUGAUACUCCAUCAUUAUUCACUGGAUUUGGAACUUGCCUCAUCUGAAUUGGAGAUUAUUAGAUCUUUCGAGUAGCUUUGUUGCUGGUUGUGGGUGAUCUCGGCUGAGGCUUCCAACAAUUUGUGACCUUCUUGCUGUCAGGGAAU